UGAAACUAACAGAUGCUGGCCUC
rnacentral:piRNA from 1 species